rnacentral:rRNA from 1 species
UACGAAGGGGGCUAGCGUUGCUCGGAAUCACUGGGCGUAAAGCGCACGUAGGCGGAUUGUUAAGUCAGGGGUGAAAUCCUGGAGCUCAACUCCAGAACUGCCUUUGAUACUGGCGAUCUUGAGUCCGGAAGAGGUGAGUGGAACUCCUAGUGUAGAGGUGGAAUUCGUAGAUAUUAGGAAGAACACCAGUGGCGAAGGCGGCUCACUGGUCCGUACUCGUGACGCUGAGGUGCGAAAGCGUGGGAGCAACAGGG